rnacentral:rRNA from 1 species
UACGAAGGGGGCUAGCGUUGUUCGGAAUCACUGGGCGUAAAGGGCGCGUAGGCGGCCGAUCAAGUCGGGGGUGAAAGCCUGUGGCUCAACCACAGAAUUGCCUUCGAUACUGGGAGUCUUGAGUUCGGAAGAGGUUGGUGGAACUGCGAGUGUAGAGGUGAAAUUCGUAGAUAUUCGCAAGAACACCGGUGGCGAAGGCGGCCAACUGGUCCGAUACUGACGCUGAGGCGCGAAAGCGUGGGGAGCAAACAGG